GAGUCAAGAGUGGCUGAGUGAUGGAGAUGAUAUGGUUGAGAGCUGAGAAAGUAAGCAGGCGGGAGAGCAGAAAUGGUAGCUGUGAGUGUAGCUAAACAUAACAAAGCUUGAUUUGUUGGUUUUUACACCCAUACCCACAGGUUAUAUUUUAGUUGGAUUGUAUUUUUUUUUAAACCUUUCAUGUGAAAGUCAAUUGUUAGGCCAUCUAAACAUGCUCACCCAUCAAAACACCACCAGAAAGGGUUCCCAGGCUAGUGCCCAAAAAGUCUGUUUAGGAUCAUAAAGAUGAAAGAGAGCUUGGAAAUCACUGAGUAGCACACACCACGGCAGAAAGCAUGGGCUCUGAAGUCAGACCACAUUUACUAAGUAGGUAACCUUAUGGGGUAUGUAAUCCCACUAGGCCUCAUUCUCCUUAUGUAUUACAUGGAACAAAACCAGCCUCACAGGCUUGUCAUGAGGAUGAAAUGAGACGAUCCUGGGCAAUGUGUGAAAGCUGAGUUGCUUGUUAUUCCCAUCACCACAUCGUGUUAUGUGAAAGAAACCUCGGUCUGUCAUUGACAAGUAAUUGAGGCUUUGCUGGGUCAACCCAAGGGCUAAGGGAUUUGAUGCACUUGUGUUUCUACAACACUAGAAGCCCAAGAGUUGAGACUGUGAUCACACAUAUGCCACUAUUUUCUCCCCAUCAUAUAAAAGAAUAGCAUAGGGAAAUGAUGAAUGCCCAACUAGAGGAAUUAUUACUUAAUCUGACCUCUUCUUUUUUACAUAUACAGAAACUGGGGCACAGGGAGGUGAAAUGACUAGGCUCAAGGGCCCCAGCUAGACUGUGGCAGAACAGGAACUAGGAACCAGGAACAAGUCAGCCAGGAACUUGCACUGCAGCCAUGACUUUUAAAGACCCCGGAAAGACACCCAUGGCACCAGAGGUGGCGAGUCAUCGAAUUAGAAUUACUCUAACAAGACACAAUGUAAAAUCUUUGGAGAAGGCCCCACAAGGAAGCCAGCUCAGCCUCCUUGCUUAUAGCUUCUGUUGCUUGAACUGGGGAUGAGACCUCUCAUCACGCCCCUCCAUCUUCCUAUUUCAGCUCCUAUGGGGAGCAAAUCGGAGCACGGGGCCAACAGGAUAUCAGCAAAGCCUGGGCCCAGGAUACCAUCACCAAAGAGGAAGAGAGGCAAGAAGCCUAUGGCUGAAUGAGAAGACCAGUCCAAGUCCUUUAAGGAACAUUGGUCCCUCACUAAGACUUGCCCUCAAGAUCAAGGCAUCAUCACAUACAUUGGAGGCAGAAGAGUGUACCACUCAGAAGGGCUUAUUGGGCUAUGGAGCAACAGCUUCAAAAGCUCUUGGACCAAAGAACAGACACACCUGGGGACCUUUCCAACGAGUGGCACAGAGCCCACAGAAGAGGUAGGGGGACUGUCCUGGGUGCCCACAGCAGAGGGGGUUGCAGAGAAUAAAAGACAGUAGAACCACCUCUCCCCUUUGUGGGUGCUAUAUACCAGAUGGCACCAUGGUCAACAUAUAUAGGUAAGCGAGAGCCAAGUGGGGCCCACAAACGUAGUUCAAGAGAGAAUAACAGGUUUAAAGAGUGGGCAGUCUACCAUCAAGAGUUCAAAGCCCUAAUUUUGUUCUGUGGCCAACAUCAGAGAAAGUCAGCAAACCAGUACCAUUCUGGUGGCCCAGUCUUAUGUGAUCCUGUGAACAGAAUACCUUACAGUUCAGUGGCUAUGAUCUGCUGGCCAGGUAGCCCUCCCAGAACCUUUUUGACCACAGACUGGGACAAUUGCAGAGACAAAAAACACAAAACAUUUUAAGGCAUCUGGUUGAUCCCACACCUUGGAUCGGGGUAGAAGUUUGGAGAGCACCCUAGUGUGGAAAAAUGGAGAUGACCUCAUGGUACUCUGCUCAGAUGGCACUGACCACUCCAGCUGGUCCCUUCAAUUAGAGACUGGCCUUCUCUGAGGAAGGUUUGCUGAAGUGCACAGUCCUCUGAGGCUUGAGUGGAGCAGGCCAUUUGCCCAGGUUGUAGGUCAUGCUGGUCAGUGGUGGGGCAGCCCUGACGGUCCUAAUGGAGAAUGAGAUAAGCCCCAGCUCCUCUCAUGGAAGGGUGGUUAUAGCUUCUGUGCAUAAAUUUCUAGAGUCAGACCUAGAAAAGAUAGAGGAGGACAAGAUAAGUGCUUUUGUAACUUCCAUUAGGGAGAAUAAUAGGUUUAAAAGAAACUAGACCCUCUAUUCAGAGGCAGUAGUAUUAAAGUAUAACAGGUUGAAUGGAAGCUCCCAAAGGAUGCCCAAUACACCUCAAUACAAAGGCCUUUUAUAAUUAUGAAAGGGAGACCAUGAUUUUCUUCAAGGAGUUUUGAACUCUGGUUUCUCUGCCAAGUCAUAGUGAAAGUCAAUGAGCAAUGAAUUAGGAAUUCAAGGGUUUCUUGGGUGGCUCUAUUGGUUAAGCAUCCAACUCUUGAUUUAGGUUCAGGUCAUGAUCUAAUGGUUUGUGGGUUCGAGCCCCACAUCUGACAGCGUGGAACCUGCUUGUGAUUCUCUCUGUCCCUCUGUCUCUCUGCCCCUCUUGUGUGAUCUCUCUGUCUCAAAAUAAAUUAAAAAACAUUUUUUUUUUAAAGAAUUCAACAGAGCUGGGGCACCUGGGUGGGUCAGUCAGUUAAGCAUUUGACUUUGGCUCAGGUCAUGAUCUCAUGGUUCAUGAGUUCAAGCCCCACAUUAGACACUGACAGUGCGGAGACUGUUUGGGAUUCUCUCUCUCUCUCUCUCUCUCUCUCUCUCUGCCCCUUCCCCACUCGCACCCUCCCCCUCUCAAAAUAAAUAAACUUAAAAAAAAGAAAAGAAUUCCACAGACCUUAGGGAGAUGUGAGAGUUUAUUUUUUUUAAUUUUUUUUCAACGUUUAUUUAUUUUUGGGACAGAGAGAGACAGAGCAUGAACGGGGGAGGGGCAGAGAGAGAGGGAGACACAGAAUCGGAAACAGGCUCCAGGCUCUGAGCCAUCAGCCCAGAGCCUGACUCGGGGCUCGAACUCAACGGACCGCGAGAUCGUGACCUGGCUGAAGUCGGACGCUUAACCAACUGUGCCACCCAGGCGCCCUUAUGUGAGAGUUUUAUACAGAAAAUCAGUGAGGCAACAGGCAGGGGAUGUGAGGAUUCCAUCUGGUGUUGGUCCUCCUGAGAGGGCAGCUUGCCAUUUGGUCAUGGGGUAAGCAGUAAUGGUGGAGCAGACCUGUGGGAACCUGUGGGGAUUUUCCCAGUCUGCUGGGUUAAGGUUGUUCAAACUGAUCCAACCUAUUUCAGUGGAGUGAUUCCAAAUGUUUCUUUGCAUACUUGCAGACACAGGAUUUGCCUCCCAGAUAACAUUCCAACAAUUAAUUGAAAUCAUUUAGAUGAAGCACUAAAUGACAGUCAAAACCCAGUAUGGUAUGGGAGGCCCUCUGAAUUUACUAUUUGAAUACAGUAAUCCCUUGCUAACCAUAAGGUUCCAUUCCUAAAACAUACUGUGGUUGGUGAGCUGGAGGUUUUGCAGUAUCUCCUAGAAAACAUUUGUGGAAAAGCAAACAAAAAUUGGUGCUAAGUAUCUUUUUUAAACUGAAGGGGAAAAAAGGACAAGCAAAACCCUUGAUUUGUUGAUACUUAAAACUUUCUCCAGGAAGGUGUCUUUGUCUUAAAUUUUCUUCAACGUUUUAGGAAAUAUUGGUGUAAAAACCUAUCUAUUGAGAGAGUUUGCCAAGAGUUUUAUUCUUGAGAGUCCAUAUCCUUUUUUUUAAAAGUUUAUUUAUUUUGAGAGAGAGAGAGCACAGGAGAGAGAGGGAGAGAGAGAGAGAAGAGAGAGAGAGAGAGAGAGAGAGAGAGAGAAUCCUAAUCAGGCUCCACGCUGUCAGCGUGGAGCCAGAUGCAGGGAUUGAACCCAUGAACCGUGAAAUCAUGGCCUGAGCUGAAACCAAGAGUCAGACACUUAACCUACUGAGCCACCUAGGCACCCCAGAAGUCUGUAUUCUUUUUAAAAUUUUAAACUUGCCUCUAUUGACUUUAAAUAUAAUGUGUUUUAAACCUG